UACGUAGGGUGCAAGCGUUAAUCGGAAUUACUGGGCGUAAAGCGUGCGCAGGCGGUUUUGUAAGUCUGUCGUGAAAUCCCCGGGCUCAACCUGGGAAUUGCGAUGGAGACUGCAAGGCUAGAAUCUGGCAGAGGGGGGUAGAAUUCCACGUGUGAGCAGUGAAAUGCGUAGAGAUGUGGAGGAACACCGAUGGCGAAGGCAGCCCCCCGGGUCAAGAUUGACGCUCCAUGCACGAAAGGCGUGGGGAGCAAACAGG
rnacentral:rRNA from 1 species